rnacentral:rRNA from 1 species
GCUUGCGUCACAUUAGUUAGUUGGUGGGGUAAAGGCCUACCAAGACUAUGAUGUGUAGCCGGGCUGAGAGGUUGAACGGCCACAUUGGGACUGAGACACGGCCCAAACUCCUACGGGAGGCAGCAGUAGGGAAUUUUCGGCAAUGGAGGAAACUCUGACCGAGCAACGCCGCGUGAACGAUGAAGUAUUUCGGUACGUAAAGUUCUUUUAUUAGGGAAGAAUAAAUGAUGGAAAAAUCAUUCUGACGGUACCUAAUGAAUAAGCCCCGGCUAACUAGUGCCAGCAGCCGCGGUAAUACAUAGGGGGCAAGCGUUAUCCGGAAUUAUUGGGCGUAAAGGGUGCGUAGGCGGUUAAAUAAGUUUAUGGUCUAAGUGCAAUGCUCAACAUUGUGAUGCUAUAAAAACUGUUUAGCUAGAGUAAGAUAGAGGCAAGUGGAAUUCCAUGUGUAGUGGUAAAAUGCGUAAAUAUAUGGAGGAACACCAGUAGCGAAGGCGGCUUGCUGGGUCUUUACUGACGCUGAGGCACGAAAGCGUGGGGAGCAAACAGGAUUAGAUACCCUGGUAGUCCACGCCGUAAACGAUGAGUACUAAACGUUGGGUAAAACCAGUGUUGAAGUUAACACAUUAAGUACUCCGCCUGAGUAGUACGUACGCAAGUAUGAAACUUAAAGGAAUUGACGGGACUCCGCACAAGCGGUGGAUCAUGUUGUUUAAUUCGAAGGUACCCGAAAAACCUCACCAGGUCUUGACAUGCUUCUGCAAAGCUGUAGAAACACAGUGGAGGUUAUCAGUUGCACAGUGGUGCAUGGUUGUCGUCAGCUCGUGUCGUGAGAUGUUGGGUUAAGUCCCGCAACGAGCGCAACCCUUAUU